rnacentral:rRNA from 1 species
UGACAGUACUCCUACGGGGAGGCAGCAGUGGGGGAAUAUUGCACAAUGGGCGCAAGCCUGAUGCAGCCAUGCCGCGUGUGUGAAGAAGGCCUUCGGGUUGUAAAGCACUUUCAGUCGUGAGGAAGGUAGUGUAGUUAAUAGCUGCAGUAUUUGACGUUAGCGACAGAAGAAGCACCGGCUAACUCCGUGCCAGCAGCCGCGGUAAUACGGAGGGUGCGAGCGUUAAUCGGAAUUACUGGGCGUAAAGCGCAUGCAGGUGGUUUGUUAAGUCAGAUGUGAAAGCCCGGGGCGUCAACCUCGGAAUAGCAUUUGAAACUGGCAGACUAGAGUACUGUAGAGGGGGGUAGGAAUUUCAGGUGUAGCGGUGAAAUGCGUAGAGAUCUGAAGGAAUACCGGUGGCGAAGGCGGCCCCCUCGGACAGAUACUGACACUCAGAUGCGAAAGCGUGGGGAGCAAACAGGAUUAGAUACCCUGGUAG